UACGUAGGGUGCGAGCGUUAAUCGGAAUUACUGGGCGUAAAGCGCGCGCAGGCGGUCUCGUAAGACCGGUGUGAAAUCCCCGGGCUCAACCUGGGAACUGCGCUUGUGACUGCGAGGCUGGAGUGCGGAAGAGGGAGGUGGAAUUCCACGUGUAGCAGUGAAAUGCGUAGAGAUGUGGAGGAACACCGAUGGCGAAGGCAGCCUCCUGGUCCAGCACUGACGCUCAUGCACGAAAGCGUGGGGAGCAAACAGG
rnacentral:rRNA from 1 species